rnacentral:rRNA from 1 species
AUUGAACGCUGGCGGCAGGCCUAACACAUGCAAGUCGAACGAGUGGCGGACGGGUGAGUAAUGUCUGGGAAACUGCCCGAUGGAGGGGGAUAACUACUGUAAACGGUAGCUAAUACCGCAUACCAUCCGAUGGGCCCAGAGGGGAUUAGCUAGUAGGUGGGGUAACGGCUCACCUAGGCGACGAUCCCUAGCUGGUCUGAGAGGACGACCAGCCACCCUGGGACUGAGACACGGCCCAGACUCCUACGGGAGGCAGCAGUGGGGAAUUUUGGGCAAUGGGGGAAACCCUGAUCCAGCCAUGCCGCGUGUGCGAUGAAGGCCGUCGGGUUGUAAAGCACUUUUGGCAGGAAAGCGGUACCUGCAGAAUAAGCACCGGCUAACUACGUGCCAGCAGCCGCGGUAAUAC